rnacentral:rRNA from 1 species
UACAGAGGGUGCGAGCGUUAAUCGGAAUUAUUGGGCGUAAAGCGCGUGUAGGCGGCUUUGCAAGUCGGGUGUGAAAGCCCUCGGCUCAACCGAGGAAGUGCGCCCGAAACUGCAGAGCUUGAGUACCGGAGAGGAUGGUGGAAUUCCCCAAGUAGAGGUGAAAUUCGUAGAUAUGGGGAGGAACACCGGUGGCGAAGGCGACCAUCUGGACGGAUACUGACGCUGAGACGCGAAAGCGUGGGGAGCAAACAGG